CACGUAGGGCGCAAGCGUUGUCCGGAAUUAUUGGGCGUAAAGAGCGUGUAGGCGGCCAGAUAGGUCCGUUGUGAAAACUCGAGGCUCAACCUCGAGACGCCGAUGGAAACCAUUUGGCUAGAGUCCGGAAGAGGAGAGUGGAAUUCCUGGUGUAGCGGUGAAAUGCGCAGAUAUCAGGAAGAACACCCGUGGCUAAGGCGGCUCUCUAGUACGGUACUGACGCUGAGACGCGAAAGCGUGGGGAGCGAACAGG
rnacentral:rRNA from 1 species